UUGGCCUUGACAUACUAAGAACUUUCCAGAGAUGGAUUGGUGCCUUUCGGGAACUUAGAUACAGGUGCUGCAUGGCUGUCGUCAGCUCGUGUCGUGAGAUGUUGGGUUAAGUCCGCAACGAGCGCAACCCUUUUUCCUUAUUUGCCAGCGGGUAAUGCCGGGAACUUUAAGGAUACUGCCAGUGACAAACUGGAGGAAGGCGGGGACGACGUCAAGUCAUCAUGGCCCUUACGGCCAGGGCUACACACGUGCUACAAUGGUCGGUACAAAGGGUUGCUACCUCGCGAGAGGAUGCUAAUCUCAAAAAGCCGAUCGUAGUCCGGAUCGCAGUCUGCAACUCGACUGCGUGAAGUCGGAAUCGCUAGUAAUCGCGGAUCAGAAUGCCGCGGUGAAUACGUUCCCGGGCCUUGUACACACCGCCCGUCACACCAUGGGAGUUUGUUGCACCAGAAGUAGGUAGUCUAACCGCAAGGAGGACGCUUACCACGGUGUGGCCGAUGACUGGGGUGAAGUCGUAACAAGGUAGGCGUAGAUGA
rnacentral:rRNA from 1 species